GCUUUUUUCGCCGCGGAGCUCGACCGCCCCACGACGAGAUGAUUCGUUUCGUCGACGAGCACCGCGACCGCUAUGGGGUCGAAGCGAUCUGCCGCGUCC
rnacentral:ncRNA from 1 species